CAGCCACAACAGCCCGCUGGCUCGCACGGGGUGCUCUUCAUCGAGUGUCCCGCGUGGCCGGCAGAGUUUACUUUGAAAAAAUUAGAGUGCUCAAAGCAGGCUACACUGACGGCCUGAAUGCCUAUGCAUGGAAUAAUGGAAUAGGACCUCGGUUCUAUUUUGUCGGUUUUCUGAACCCGAGGUAAUGACUAAUAGGAACAGGCGGGGGCAUUCGUAUUGCGACGCUAGAGGUGAAAUUCUUGGACCGUCGCAAGACGAACUACUGCGAAAGCAUUUGCCAAGGAUGUUUUCAUUAAUCAAGAACGAAAGUUAGAGGUUCGAAGGCGAUCAGAUACCGCCCUAGUUCUAACCAUAAACGAUGCUGACCAGCGAUCCGCCGGCGUUAUUCCCAUGACCCGGCGGGCAGCUUCCGGGAAACCAAAGUCUUUGGGUUCCGGGGGAAGUAUGGUUGCAAAGCUGAAACUUAAAGGAAUUGACUGAAGGGCNCCACCUNGANUGGAGCCUGCNGCUUAAUUUG
rnacentral:rRNA from 1 species